GUGUUUCGUUUGUCGUGUGUUUCCUUGCUUGUGUGUGUAGCGCGUGGUUUGCAUCAGUGGGUUGUGAUGUAACCAUGCUAGGUUGUUUGCUUAAUCAACUUGCAGAAUAAGCCUAACAUACAUCAUAACAGCAAAAGACUUAGAUCUGUUAAGGUCCUAUCCUUAGUUUCUAAUCUGUCUCUCCCCUUUGUUUUCCCUCUCUCCCUCUCCAAACCUUUGCAACAGAUGG
rnacentral:misc_RNA from 1 species